rnacentral:rRNA from 1 species
CCUACGGGAGGCUGCAGUGAGGAAUAUUGGUCAAUGGACGGAAGUCUGAACCAGCCAUGCCGCGUGCAGGAAGACGGCUCUAUGAGUUGUAAACUGCUUUUGUACAAGGGUAAACCUGAAUACGUGUAUUCAGCUGAAAGUACUGUACGAAUAAGGAUCGGCUAACUCCGUGCCAGCAGCCGCGGUAAUACGGAGGAUCCAAGCGUUAUCCGGAUUUAUUGGGUUUAAAGGGUGCGUAGGCGGAUUGAUAAGUUGGAGGGGAAAUGUCCGAGCUUAACUCGGGAACUGCCUCUAAUACUGUUGAUCUAGAGAGUAGAUGCGGUAGGCGGAAUGUAUGGUGUAGCGGUGAAAUGCUUAGAGAUCAUACAGAACACCGAUUGCGAAGGCAGCUUACCAAUCUAUAUCUGACGUUGAGGCACGAAAGCGUGGGGAGCAAACAGGAUUAGAUACCCUUGUAGUC